rnacentral:rRNA from 1 species
CCUACGGGGGGCUGCAGUGAGGAAUAUUGGUCAAUGGGCGGGAGCCUGAACCAGCCAAGUCGCGUGAGGGAAGACGGUCCUAUGGAUUGUAAACCUCUUUAGGCGGGGAGCAAUGCCGGGCACGCGUGCCCGGAGGGAGAGUACCCGCAGAAUAAGCAUCGGCCAACUCCGUGCCAACAGCCGCGGUAAUACGGAGGAUGCGAGCUUUAUCCGGAUUGAUUGGGUUUAAAGGGUGCGUAGGCGGAUUUUUAAGUCAGCGGUAAAAUGUCCGGGCUCAAACCGGGCCGGCCGUUGAAACUGGGGAUCUUGAGUGGGCGAGAAGUAUGCGGCAUGCGUGGUGUAGCGGUGAAAUGCAUAGAUAUCACGCAGAACUCCGAUUGCGAAGGCAGCAUACCGGCGCCCGACUGACGCUGAGGCACGAAAGCGUGGGGAUCGAACAGGAUUAGAUACCCGGGUAGUC